CGAUUGGUACUGAUGCUGGCCCUUUGCGGGGCACUGUGCUCGUACUAUCUUAUUUAUCUUCUCUUGUGCACAUUUUGUAGUCUUGAAUGAAGUAUGCGCACUUUAACUAGUUGCGGUCUGGGAGCUGGGCCUAACAAGCCCUUCUCCUGUCCUUUGUUCAAGACUAUGUUUUCAUAUACCCUUUAAAAAGUUACAGAAUGUCUUUUACUGGCUUGUGCUCGUCACAGUCAUUAAACCUAUACAACUCUCAGCAACGGAUCUCUUGGCUCUCCUAUCGAUGAAGAACGCAGCGAAAUGCGAUAAGUAAUGUGAAUUGCAGAAUUCAGUGAAUCAUCGAAUCUUUGAACGCACCUUGCGCCCUUUGGUAUUCCGAAGGGCAUGCCUGUUUGAGUGUCAUUAAAUUAUCAAUCUUGACUUGCUUUAUUGCGAUUCAAGGCUUGGAUAUGAGGGCUUGCUGGCUUCCUUUAGUGGAUGGUCUGCUCCCUUUAAAUGCAUUAGCGGGAUCUCUUGUGGACCGUUACUUGGUGUAAUAACUUUGCGCCAUUUGACUUUGAAGCAAACUAAUGGGAAUCUGCUCAUAACCGUCCCUCUGGGACAAUGCUCUGACAAUUUGACCUCAAAUCAGGUAGGACUACCCGCUGAACUUAAGCAUAUCAAUA
rnacentral:rRNA from 1 species